rnacentral:lncRNA from 1 species
AUUCCAAACCAAGAUACAGAAAACCUGAGAGAAAGGAAAUGAAUUUAAAUGGAUGAAAAUAGGGCGGGAGAGUUAGAGUUUCUCUGUCUGCCAGUGGGGGAAAGUAGGCAGAAGACUCUGCUUCCAAGGGAGAGACUUAUACUUUAACCUUGGAGCAUAAGAAGAGGAAACUGAGGCUGAGAGGGAGGAAGUGUCUUGCCCAAGGUCCCCCAGGCAACAAGCAAUGGAACCAGGAUUUGAAACCAGGACUUUUCAUCUUAAUCUUCCUCCUGUGGAUAUAUAAGAUCAUUAUAACAUGAGGAAUUUGGAAGAGCCAACGUACUAAGGUAUUGAACUGAUCCUUACCAGGAUGAAAGCUCCUUUCUAGUGAAUGUCACUAGCCUGUGAUAGACAGAGAGCAAAGGCAGAGAUCCUUGUCUCUUUUCUUCACUGUGGUGCUCCCAGCACUGAGAACAAUGCUUGGCAAAUGGGUGGAAUAUUUUCCCAGAUGGGGAGAGAGACUUAUGCAAGCCAUUAAGGAGGCUGCUCUGCCUGCGUGUCGAAGGAGGACAUCUUCAGUGACUGAAGUUUUCACUGAGCAGUUGGCAGUCGACGCACAUGGAGGACACACAUGAGGCCUAGGAAGGCAGCCGUCAACAGAACUGUCUUAUUGUCUGUCCUCAUGGAAUUGACUUUCCAGUGGAGAAGGCAAAGCCCUGUCCUAACUAUGGGAGUCACAGAGAUGCAUAAAAUAAAUUCCCUCAUCUCCGGA